GUUGUCCGGCGGGCCUAUGAUCAGCACCAGCUCGCGGGAGAAAGUGCUGCCGGACUUCUCCACACUGCCCAGCUGCACACGCCGGGGCUCCUGAGACUGCCGAGGAUCGUUCACCGGGCGCGAAUCCUGAGUAUCCAAAUAGGGUGAGUGACUUCUUGAAGGUCUCCUUGCUGAAGGCAUCACUGAAGGCUUCGCAGGUGAGGGACAGGCCAUUGUCUUCUCUCUUCACCAAGAGUGUCAGAUUGGACAUGGAGAUGUGGCCACCAUGCAGGCCCUAGCAAGGAGUGAGCUUCAGAUUUACGGCCCGAGAAGCCCCCACUCACGGUAGCAGAGGCCUGGGUCCACCAGACCCUACCAAGGACACAUGAAACUUUCCCAUCCCCCCUCUAUAAGACCCAGGAACUGGAGCCUCAGUCUGGGCUCCGCAGGGCCCAAAGCCUCAAGGGAUGUCAAACUGCAAUCAUGUACAUCCUCACAUCCAUGACUGUCUCAUCCGUGGGCAGCAACUGCCGUCCACCCAACCACCAUCGCAGCAGGACCCGUGGGCGACUGGACUUGACACACUGUUGUAGGACUGACAGCUGAGCCGAGCUCCGUGGUCUUCAGGUCGAACGGUCAUCACCAGCACACUGUGAGCCACUGCCUGGGCAUGCUCUGUGCCCCAAGCUAUGGACACUGGUUUACCAUUCUGGACACAAUGCAAACCAUUCUGCGAACCUGGCUACGUCAGCAUCGCUCCUUCCCCAUGCCCCAUGUCAGCCCUCCAUCCUCACCUUCAGCCACUGCAGGGUCGCAGGUGGAUUUCCACCUCUGGCUAUGCAGGGUAGCUCCAGGUUCUCCCCUGCCCGUACAUGCCCCUCAUUCAGGCCUGGCCAAUCAAUGACAGGAGGUCCUGGGGGGACUGGAGAGCAUAGACCACUCAGGGAGCCUGGGAAGCCCCCAUCUACUCUUUCUGGGCUCCAUAACUUGCUUUACUCUCCUCUUGUGGACAAGGGAGAUGGCUCAGGAGGUCCUUGGCAACAAGCCCAACAACCUGACUUCAAGUCCACUUUGCAAGGACAGACUUAACUUCUGAGAGAUGUUCUCGUGCAUGCACACAUGCACACAACAACAACAGCAGCAGCAAUAACAACAAUAACAAAUCUUAGCUUUUCCUUGGCUGCUUGCUUUUUGUUUCCAGUGCUAGGUUUGGAACCUGGGUUUAUGCUUACCCCAGGGUGGAUUCUAUGGCUGAGCUACAAAGUCCAGCCCUCAGUAGCCCAGGUUGGCCUUACUGACCUUCUGCCCCCACCUCCUGCGUGCUGAGAUUAUAGGUACAAAACAUGGCAGCUGAUGACAA
ensembl:antisense Nphs1os nephrosis 1 homolog, nephrin, opposite strand